ACCUAUCACUGCCAAUCUACCUACCGCUGCCAACCUAUCUAUCACUGCUAAUCUAUCGCUGCUAAUCUAUCGCUGCUAAUCUAUCGCUGCUAAUCUAUCGCUGCUAAUCUAUCGCUGCUAAUCUAUCGCUGCUAAUCUAUCACUGCUAAUCUAUCGCUGCUAAUCUAUCGCUGCUAAUCUAUCGCUGCUAAUCUAUCACUGCUAAUCUAUCGCUGCUAAUCUAUCGCUGCUAAUCUAUCGCUGCUAAUCUAUCACUGCUAAUCUAUCGCUGCUAAUCUAUCGCUGCUAAUCUAUCGCUGCUAAUCUAUCACUGCUAAUCUAUCGCUGCUAAUCUAUCGCCGCCAACCUACCUACCGCUGCCAACCUAUCUACUGCUGCCAACCUAUCUAUCACUGCUAAUCUAUCGCUGCUAAUCUAUCACUGCUAAUCUAUUGCUGCCAACCUAUCUACCGCUGCCAACCUAUCUAUCACUGCUAAUCUAUUGCUGCUAAUCUAUCGCUGCUAAUCUAUUGCUGCUAAUCUAUUGCUGCUAAUCUAUUGCUGCUAAUCUAUCGCCGCCAACCUACCUACCGCUGCCAACCUAUCUACUGCUGCCAACCUAUCUAUCGCUGCCAACCUAUAUAGGGUAAAUCAUGGUCCCAUUUGGUCCCAUUUUGUAAAAUGGAACCAAAUGGGACCAGAAUCACUAAUUUAUUAGUAAAACAUAAUCUGAGACUAGAUUUAUAAUAUAAACAGUGUAAAGUGACUAAUUUACUAAACACUAUAUGAGAUCAGAACUAAGAUAUCUAAUAAUGAGACUGAGGAAAAAUUUGGUCUCAGUUUCAUGUAUAGUUACAUGGCCAGUCUAAUACAGAGUAUUCUGAGAUGAGAAAAGAUAAAUAAGAUAAUCUUUAUAUCAAAAAAGCUGAAAAUAAUUUAUCUUAUAAAAAAACAGUAUAAUAAAAUAUCAGUAAUAGUUAUAUCUAAGAAUCUUACUAUAUAUUCAGUUAUUAUUUCAGCUGAAUAGAAGUUAGUAUUUCACUGAUUGAGUAUAUACUUUGAUAGAAGAUUUAUCUAAAGAUUAUA
rnacentral:sRNA from 2 species